UACGUAGGGGGCAAGCGUUGUCCGGAUUUACUGGGCGUAAAGCGCGCGUAGGCGGACCUGCAAGUCGGGGGUGAAAGCCCGAGGCUCAACCUCGGAACUGCCUUCGAUACUGCGGGUCUCGAGUCCGGGAGAGGUGAGUGGAAUUCCUAGUGUAGAGGUGAAAUUCGUAGAUAUUAGGAAGAACACCAGUGGCGAAGGCGGCUCACUGGCCCGGUACUGACGCUGAGGCGCGGAAAGCGUGGGGAGCAAACAGGG
rnacentral:rRNA from 1 species